AGUGAUCAUCACAGCUACCAGUUGUGAAACAUGGUCCCCUGUAUGUAUCAGCCAAAUUCUCACACCUCGCUGCUUCACUCACCGCUAUUUCUUCUGCAUAUAUAUAAUAUUAUUUAAAUAUAUAUUUCAUAAUAUAUACAAAUGCAGUAUAUAUGUAGUUAAUUAAUCUUACGUGCAACAAAGAGAACGAGGAAGAGGAAGCACAAGCCAGCUAGUGAUUUCUUGUCCAUGGCUUAGUGAUAUUGAAUAAUGUAACUUUUCACUUAUGUGUUAUGUGUGUGUUUGGUGUGGUUGAUAUAUUUGUUGAUCGUAACACACAUAUAUAUAGCCCCAAGGGGCUUGACUAGUAAGAGAAAUGAACAAAUAUUAUUAUUAAUCUGAAAAUGAAGUUUGAGAAGCUAGAAGAAACCACAAGAAACGGAUUGAUGUGGCAGCAUAUUUUAUUACCCAAGUUUGUAUUUUCAUGAUGAAAAGUCAAUAGUGUGGGGCGUGGAAGCUAGAGUGGAGCUUAUCAACAUAUAAUUAAUGCUAUAUAUGGAGACAGACAAAUAUAGUAUGCAACAAUUCAAUUUGAAUUCUCCAUUCGAUUUGUUUGUGAUAAUUAAUCAUGUAAUUUUCCCAAAAGUAAUCAAUAAAAUAAAUUCAAUAAUAUGCAUCUCAUAUAUAAAAGAGUAAUUAAACAAAAGUAGGGAAGGGAUAGGGGAGAGGUUUGGAGGAGGGGAGCACAUGAAAAAAUAGAGGAAUUUUUUUAAUCUUUUUUAAAGAGUCUUUUUUGUAGAAAAUAAUAAAUAAAUGUUUAUAAUUAACAUAUAUUUUUUAGUAUUUAGAGUAUAAUAAAACAGAUAUUUGGAUUUGAAAUUUUUAUUUAUUCUAAAGUAAUUUUGGAAUUCCUCAAAAUAAAGAGAUUUUGUAUUAUAAAAAAAAAUAAACUUCAAAGUAUUCUCCUUUCAAAACUCUUUAUUCAUUUCACUUCACUCUUCCUUUUUUUAAAUUUUAAAAGUCUUUUCAUUGCCUUUUAAGCUCUCAAACACAUCUUGAUAGCUCAUAGCUACUCCUAAUUAUCCUCUCUAUGUAUUGGUGAUUUGGUUUCGGAUAAUUAAUAUUACUAAUUUUGUUAAUGGGUUUAUUAACUAUACAUCUAUCAAGAGGUUAAUAACUAAAAGUUAACAAACGGCUCUAAUUUUUCUAGAGAGAUAAAUUUUACUAUGUCUUUAAGUUUUUUCUUCUUCUUCAGUCACUUAGAUAAUGGUGGUUGUAAGUAUUUUUAGAUCUGAAAUUAUUCAUAUGCUUCUUUUUUCUCUGUUACAAUCUAAAUAAGUGAUUCCAUACAUACCAUAUUUUUCUUUGUGUUUUUUUUUUCUUUGUGAUUUCGUCAUCUCAAAUCAGCGUUAUUUGUUUUUUCGUCUUGAUGCAUUGUUCCUUUGAUUUCUCGUCUUGUUCUAGUGUUCUUUUCAUUCAGAUUGAUAUAUCAACUUCGAUCAGUUAUUGAUUCAAUCAAUUACUAGGUUGUCAACAUUGUAGAUCUGAAGACAUGAACAUUUCGGUCACUUUGAUUUUGUCACAUUAUUAUUUGUAGACAUAAGUCGUUUUAUGUUAUUAACUUGGAUGUUGAGAGUAUGCUUGCACAUUCAAUUUUUUAGCAAUGUUGAAUAUGUUUUUGUAUUAGAUGUCCUCUACCAACUUGAAUGAAUGAAUAUAUAUUUUUUUUUUUGUGUAAAAACUAUACGUUAAUGCAAAAACAAUUUACAUAUACAUGUAGUUAUAAAAAAGAAUAUUGGAGUAGAUUCUUUAGUUUUGGUCUAUUUGCAAAGUUGGAUUGGAACCUAUCUAAUAAUGAUGUGGGCCUUGAGGUGUUGUUGUGGCUGCCUCAUGGAAAGAGCGUAACAAAUUUUUAUUAGUUCAAACUUCUAAGAUGGGGGAUAAAAUUUAGAAUUCAAUUAACCAUCAGGUUCAUAAUAUAGUUUCAGAUUGGUUUCUAGAGGAAUAAACAACUCAAGACGACAUCAAAUUUAGACUAUACAUGAAGAUUUUUUCAGACGUUUUAAAAAAAGCUCACUUCUAUGAGGGAAGUUUAGGCAAUUAUCUAUAACCUUAAAGUUGAUAUAUUCAACUAAACUACCACUAAGUUUUUAUCGAAUUUGACUCUAAAGUGACUAUUAACAUAAUUCAUUGUGACUAUAUCUCUAUUCAUCAUCUAUAGCCUCUUGCAUAAAUUACUACUAUUAUUCAUGCAUCUAUCAUUGACAAGUUGAAGUAGUGUUCUACUGAAGUUAAUAAAUAUGUAGAAUUCCUUACACAUAGAGUUUAUUAGGCUG
rnacentral:lncRNA from 1 species